GGACAAACAGGGAGCAAGUGGCAAAUCAAGACACUGGAGAAGCCAUCAAAUUAAAGUCAACCGUAUGUCAAGGAGUCUGUCAAGCAUGGAGAAUCAGGUGACCAACAUCAACAUGCUCCUCAAGGAGGCUCAGAUGGAACUGGAAAGAAUGGAAAUGGCUAUAGGAGAGCCUACAGACGCCAAUGGGGUAAAGUA